UUAGGUAGAGGUUGCGAAAUUUAUCAGUAGCCAGGUGGAUGCUUACAGGAGCAGAAGAAGCCUGAGGAAAGGGAAUUUUGCCGAAAGGGAUAUAGCUGUAAUAUAUUUCUUGGGCAUACAGUGAACAACUGUAUGACUGUCAUCUUAGUAUGGAUGGUGCGCUAUCGA
rnacentral:ncRNA from 1 species